rnacentral:tRNA from 1 species
AAAGAAAUUAGUUAAACUAAUAACACUGAGUUGUCAAAUCAGAAUUAUAUUAAUAUAUUUCUU